rnacentral:tRNA from 1 species
GGGGAAUUAGCUUAGUGGUAGAGCGUCGGACUCCAAACCCGAAUGCACCGGUUCGAUUCCGGUAUUUCCUG